rnacentral:rRNA from 1 species
AUUGAACGCUGGCGGCAUGCUUUACACAUGCAAGUCGAACGGUAACAGGCCGCAAGGUGCUGACGAGUGGCGAACGGGUGAGUAAUGUAUCGGAACGUGCCCAGUCGUGGGGGAUAACGCAGCGAAAGCUGCGCUAAUACCGCAUACGAUCUAUGGAUGAAAGCGGGGGACCGUAAGGCCUCGCGCGAUUGGAGCGGCCGAUAUCAGAUUAGGUAGUUGGUGGGGUAAAGGCUCACCAAGCCAACGAUCUGUAGCUGGUCUGAGAGGACGACCAGCCACACUGGGACUGAGACACGGCCCAGACUCCUACGGGAGGCAGCAGUGGGGAAUUUGGACAAUGGGCGC